CUUAGCAGUCAGAAAAAGAUGCAUGUAGUGAUAAAAAUGUGCGGUUUCAUAGAGUCGUGUGUUUUAAUAUUAGAGUGGUGAAGCUUUCAGGUAGCAAGGAAGCUGAUUUGAUAAGGGUGAGGAUACUAGUGUCCCUAUUCUUUGUCCUAGAUGUCAAAUAUGCCUGUGUAGACAUAUUUGAGUGUAAGUUCCAGUAAAACCUUUGGCUGUACUGUCAGAUGUUUAAAGCUGCAAUUCCCAUCUAUCUGAUCUAGCCUAAGUGAUGGGAAUCAUAGAACAAACUUUCUGACUACCAGGCUGCUGAAGGUGUAGUGUAAGAGUUUGAAAAUUAUAUCAGCAUUUAUUUAGAACUAAUUUUGUGUUAAUCCAUAGAUGUAGUUCAGAAGAAUGCUGUAUGGAUAAAUUCUCAUUCAGCAGUUUUUGUAUUAAGAGUGAAGCAAACUUCUUGAGGGUUGUGAAACCAGUACUCCAUACUGGAGCAGUACGUGAUGGGACAUGAGGGGCUGCAAUAAGGUUAAGAGGUGAAUAAAUUGGGUUAAGCU
rnacentral:lncRNA from 1 species